GUCUGGAGGUUUUUGGACGGUGAGUGAAUGAGAUCCACUCUUGGACUUUUUGAGGAGCAUGUCAAUGUUGUAGGUGAUGCUCGGCCCACCCUCACAGUGUUGCCCCCCUCCAGUGUGGAACUGAAGCAGGGGAAGGCUACACUGGUGUGUUUGGCCAACAAGGGCUUCCCCUCAGACUGGACGCUGAGCUGGAAGGUGGACGGUAACAGUCCGACGUCAGGUGUGAGUGUGAGUGGGGGUGUUCUGGAGAAGGGAAACGGCCUCUACAGCUGGAGCAGCACCCUGAGCCUCACUGAGCAGCAGUGGAAGAACAUACGAGCAGUGAGCUGUGAGGCCAGACAGGGCAGCCAAAGCCCAGUCACCCACAGCCUGACCCCACAGCAGUGUACUGGCCUCUGAGAGUGUGACAUACACAAAUUUUCUCUAAAUAUCUGUGUUCUACUUGAGUUGUUUUGCUCCUUUUCUGAUUUUAAUAUCAUCAAUU